CUUUUACAAUUUACAUAACUGAAAAUGAAAAAAUUAUAGGAUUAUACGUGUAAUAUCAAAAUACUCCUUCUGAGAUGGCGAAUGAAAGGACAGUAUCGACAAACUUUUUGUCGAUAAUCGAUGAACCUAUGAAUAUACCAGUUGCCG